GAGAAUCUGCCUUUUGGUCGGGGACAACCACUGGAAACGGUGGCUAAUACCGGAUAAGCCUGCGGGUAAAAGAUUAAUUGCCAAGAGAGGAGCUCGCGUCUGAUUAGCUAGUUGGUGAGGUAAAGGCUCACCAAGGCGGCGAUCAGUAGCUGGUCUGAGAGGAUGACCAGCCACACUGGGACUGAGACACGGCCCAGACUCCUACGGGAGGCAGCAGUGGGGAAUUUUCCGCAGUGGGCGAAAGCCUGACGGAGCAAGACCGCGUGAGGGAGGAAGGCUCUUGGGUUGUAAACCUCUUUUGUCAGGGAAGAACACAAUGACGGUACCUGAAGAAUCAGCAUCGGCUAACUCCGUGCCAGCAGCCGCGGUAAUACGGAGGAUGCAAGCGUUAUCCGGAAUUAUUGGGCGUAAAGCGUCCGCAGGUGGCACUUCAAGUCUGCUGUCAAAGACCGGGGCUUAACCCUGGAAAGGCAGUGGAAACUGAAGCGCUAGAGUGUGGCAGGGGUAGAGGGAAUUCCCGGUGUAGCGGUGAAAUGCGUAGAGAUCGGGAAGAACAUCGGUGGCGAAAGCGCUCUACUGGGCCACAACUGACACUCAGGGACGAAAGCUAGGGGAGCGAAUGGGAUUAGAUACCCCAGUAGUCCUAGCCGUA
rnacentral:rRNA from 1 species